ensembl:lncRNA
CACAUUAACAGAUAGACACAAGCCAGCUGUGUGAGGUGAUUUAUGGAGAACUUUUUCCACAUUUCAGUGCCAGUGUUGAUUGGAAAAUAUCAGAACAAUAAACAAAUUUUACUGUCAAAGUUACAAAACACCUUCCUCAUUCGUGCUGCUCUACCAUUUCACAUCCAUGACAAACUUGAAGUAAAACCGACUAAGCUGAGAUUAGUGACUUUUUUUGUCCAAAAUGGAUCUGACAUUAAGUUUGUUGCUUCCAGCUGUUUUUAGGAGUUAAAUAACAGCAGCAGGAUCCAUAUGAGCGAUUCCAAAGCAGAAAGCUGCAUUCAUUUGUGGGCGUGGAACAACGAAACAACAGUGCAGGAUCGGAACUGUGACAGAGUUUCUGCACUUGGGCUGUUGCCGUGGGAACAGCACAUCCGCAAGCUUCAGAGCUCAUCGAUGCACAAUGAGGGACGUCUGCAGAGAAUGAGAAAGAGUCUCACCACAUCCUGACAUGAGGAAAAAGACUUUAUUGAAGACUACAAUGAGAAAAACUAUCAGACAGCAGACGGCUGCAUUCAAGCUGAGCUCUGAACAUUUGAUCUGGAACAGGAAUUCAAUAACGGCAGCAUGAGCUUCAUUUCAGUCUGUAGCUGCUGAAUUCAUGGAUGAAUCAUCUGGCACUAGAGAAGAAGACCAUCAAACAUCCAUGUCAGCUGAUGGAGGUCCAAGAGUCUCACCAAACAAACAACCUACAGAGUGAAGACCUUGAAUCUGAUUGGACGGCCUCCUAUUCAGCCACGUUUUAGGCUGUUAGAUUGUUCCAGAUAAGACAAGUACAAGAUUCUUCAGAGCUGUUCUACCACGAGCCUGACAGGAAGAACUCCAACAGUUACUGAAUGUUCCUGUGGUCCCCUCAAGGCUACAGGAGGAGCCCUACGAGGACGAGCUGGUCCACCUGAUGGCAGCCAGUCGCUGUGGUUCAAAGCCAACAGCGACUACGUGGACUUCUACUGGACCACAUGGAGACCUUCAAACCGGACCAACAAGUUCAGCGACUCCCCGACUCGUGGGUCUGAGGACGCCGCCGAGCCUCGGUCCAGCCGGCCUCCUGUCUGUGGAUGUUUGAGUGCUGAGAGGAUUACCACAGACCUGACCGUGAACAUCGUUGACACCCACCUGAGGGAGACGCUGCCUAAGAUCUCAAGGCUGCUUUGUCGUGGUCUUUCUGGUCCUGCUCCAGAACGCCUUCAUCAACUACGUCUUCUUUUGAAGAGGCCCUCAGAUGCUGCAAUCUCUGACCUUAAGGAGGAAUUGCUGCUUUCACUCUGUAACGAGACGGCGGUUAUUUUAAAGACCCAGCUCCUGUUGGCUUUGAAAGAAAGUUUAAUACCCA